CAUAUGCUCUCCUAGGUCCUUCUCUUGCCAACAGCAGUUCAUAGGACUUCUCAGCUUUUAUGAUUGAGUAAUAAUUUCUUAUAAUAAAUACAUUUUUAUCUCUAUCUAUAUAUAUCUAUCUUUCUGUCUAGCUAUAUUCUAUUGGUCCUGUUUCUACUUUGGUUUAAUUUAGAUGAAGGUACUAAAAAACUUAGGGUGACUGGAAUGUAAGAAUGGAUUUGCCAAUGAAGUUUACUCACUCUGGGAGGGUACAGAAGACAAUACUGUAGAAAACAUAUUUGGGCAAGGAGCCCUGUGAUUGCUGUUCUCUGUAGGCUAUACCUUAGAGUGCAAAGUACAGUCACUGCACUGGGAAACUUAAAUGCAAAGGAAGUAAACGGAUCCCAGGGUGGCAGGAGCUCAGUAGCAACACUCAACUACCAAAGGUAAGGUGGAAGUGGUAGCUGUAAUGAACAGCAGAGUCAAAAUUGCAAUCAAAAUAGUCUGACUUGUGUAGACGUAUACUGUUGGCUGGUUGAUUAUGAAGCUCCUAUAAGUGAAAUAGACAGAAAGCCUAAAUUGCUCCUUGAUAUGUAUAAGCAGAAAAGGCCUAUGUCAAGUGAAGAAACACCUUACAUGAAUCAUAAAAAAGAAGAGUAAUGGUCCUUCAAUCAGUUCCCAGCCUAGAGCCAAUAGGCAGGCCCAGAAAUCUUUGAAUGAAAAAAAAGCCUGGGUCUCCUUCAGGAAAUUCCUCAGUACAGUGCCAAAAAGCGUAUGUCAUUAAUAUUUUUUCAGCCUUUCUCAAAGAGAUUUAUGGCAUUUUACCAGGGUAACUGUGCCCUAUUUGACCUGUUCACAAGAUAGAUGGAUCUUGGAGAAUGACAGUGGAUUAUCGUAAGCUUAGCCAAGUCAUGAGUCUAAUUGUAGCUGCUGUACCAGAUAUGGCUUCAUUGCGUGACAGGGCUCAAGCAGGCCCUAAAGGCAUAAGUAAGUAACAUGAAGAAGUGGCCCAGAUGCUCAUGAUUCCCACUUCUGCUACGUUGCCUUUUCUCUCCCAGCUUGCAGUUAUGCACUUGUGCAGAGUUCCCAAAGUUUUUGAGUGGAAGAUUUUAAUACUCUAGUAGACAGGAUGACCCAUUCUGUGGAUACCAGUCCACCUUUUCCUUCAAACUCUGCUGUCAGUGCCGAAUAAGUUCAUGAGCAAAAUGCCUUACAAGGUUGUGCCACAAUUCUUCAGAUGAUCAAUGUCUAUUGUUGGUUCUGUUCUUCCAUAGCCAGGAUUUAUAGGUUCAGGACUCAUGCUGU
rnacentral:lncRNA from 1 species